CAAUAGCGUAUAUUAAAGUUGUUGCAGUUAAAAAGCUCGUAGUUGGAUUUCUGGGAGGGUGCCAAUGUCCGCCGACGUGCGUGCGCAGCGGCGCCCUACCAUCCUUCUGUUAACGCGCCAGGGCAUUCACUUGUCGGGCGCGGGCUCAGAUAAUUUACCUUGAGAAAAUUAGAGUGUUUCAGGCAGGCUCGCGCCGGGAUACAUUAGCAUGGAAUAAUGGAAUAGGACUUUCGCCUCUUCUGUUGGUCUGAGGGGUGAUCGUAAUGAUUAAUAGGGAUAGUUGGGGGCGAUUAGUACUUAACUGUCAGAGGUGAAAUUCUCGGAUUUGUUAAAGACUAACUUAUGCGAAAGCAUUUGCCAAGGAUGUUUUCAUUAAUCAAGAACGAAAGUUAGGGGAUCAAAGACGAUCAGAUACCAU
rnacentral:rRNA from 1 species